rnacentral:misc_RNA from 1 species
GAUGAAGAACGUAGCGAAAUGCGAUAAGUAAUGUGAAUUGCAGAAUUCAGUGGAUCAUCGAAUCUUUGAACGCACCUUGCACCCUUUGGCAUUCUGAAGGGUAUGCUCGUUUGAGUGUCAUUGUACUCUCACACUCCCGAUCUUUGCAUUGGGAGCAGUGGACUUGGGUUUGCUGCUUCACCGUCGCUUACCUCAAAUAGGUUAGUGCAACUCUUGGUUGGACAUAGUACGGCGUGAUAAGUGUUCUUCGCCGGUGCCUCGCAAAGAGGGUGGCCGAUCGGGAUGUUGUGCUCCAAACCGUCUUCGGACAAUCUCUGACGACUUGACCUCAAAUCGAGUAAGACUACCCGCUGAACUUAAGCAUAUCAAUAAGCGGAGGA